UCUUGAGGAUGGGUUCGAGCCCCUUCUCUCUAG
rnacentral:tRNA from 1 species